CUCAGUGCAAACACUAGCCGCGUUGCUAGGCUAUAACCAGGCGGCCAGAUUAGCGCAGAGCCGAGACAUGAAACUGCACAGUUUGUGAUCAAAGCAAGCAGACUGCUUCACGCUUGGAUCGGUGAUUCACAUCUAAAUCACCUGCGUGGCCCGAGUUAGCGAGCGGAACACCCGGUGUCUGUCUGUCUUCUCCCCGAGAGCCCGAGCUAGGUUCGGCUGGCUAGCAGCGCAGCCACCAUGGCUGAGUUUGGGUUUAAUGAGCACCACCAGAACGAAGUCAUCAAUUACAUGAGGUUUGCGCGUUCCAAACGAGUGUUGAGCCUCAAGACUAUCGACUCUUGCUUUGAGGAACUUAAAGACAGCAGACUUGUGGAGGAAACCUUCACCGUGGACGAGGUGAGGGAGAUGCUGGACGGACUCCAGGCCGUGGUGCGGGGCGAGGUGGAGAUGGAGCUCAUCAACACGGCUCACACCAAUGUGCUGCUCCUCCGGCAGCUUUUCUCUCAGGCUGAAAAGUUCUACCUGCGACUGCAGUCCGACAUCUCAGAGCUGGAGAACAGGGAGCUUUUAGAGCAAGUGGCGGAGUUUGAGAAGACAGAUUUUAAGACGACAGACAAGAUAAACCAGGAGACCAGCAAACCCAAACUGGCCCCUCUGAACGAAGGCAGUGGAGUCUCUGAACUUCUUAAUAAAGAGAUCUCAAGACUGCAGGAGGAGAACGACAGACUGAAGGCCAGACUGAGGACUUUAGAGAGUCAGGCCAUGAGCGUGCUGGAUGAGAAAACCAGAGCAGAGAGAGCACUGAGAGACCUGCAGCAGGUGCAGGGGGAACAGCAGGUGAGCUCCUCCUCUCAGGAGAUCAGCAGUCUGGAGGACACCGUAGCGGCCCUGAAGGAGGACUACCAGCGCUCGCUGAGCGUCAGCGCCGCCUCGCAGAAGGACCUGCAGGACAACCUGGUGUCGGCCAAACACGAGCUGCUGCGGGUGCAGGAGCAGCUGGCUUUAGCAGAGAAGGAACUGGACAAGAAGUUCCAGCAGACGGCGGCUUACCGCAACAUGAAGGAGAUCCUGACCAAGAAGAACGAACAGAUCAAGGAGAUUAGGAAACGACUGCAGAGAUGGCACUGUGAACUGUCCUCUGAACACGAGGACACUGUUUCAUGAAGCUUCAUCAAAACGAACGAAUAGCAACUUCAGAACGUAGCUAUGGCUGAAGCACCAACUUCAUCAGUGACGUCGUUCUAGUCAUCCAUACGAGCCCAACGAAUGAGUUCUCCUGAUGUUUCUGCGUGGAUCAACAGCUCAAGAACUUCUGUGUGGAUUUGUUUACUCCGGCUUCAUUGACAAACCUAGACCUUCUAGAGUCCAAACUGGGGGUCGGCCCGGACCAUCAGACGUCCCUCUGCGCUCUAUGCAAUCGUGUCCCGCGAGGCCUUGUCUCAGAACUGAACCCUGAAGGAAGCACCCUCAAAUGACCCCAAGAUAAUCUGACCUCUCGAGUUAGUCCUCCUCAGUUGUAACACACCGGUUAGUCAUCUAGAUCGUCUGCUUCUGCCUGCCGCGUGAGAGAGCCGGUCAGACCUGUCUGACGUAGAGGACCAUCCUGCGGCUCGGUGUUCACUUGCUGGUGUCGUGCGGAGAAUAAAGCUGCUACCAAAUACGGCCGGAAGUCUGACGGACGUUCACUGGUUGUGGUGUCGGUUCGCUGGAGCGUUGAGCAAAACCAGCAACUAAAUUAGAUAUUGACUUAUUCACGGUAAGAGAACUGGACGAGCCAGCCGUAACAGCUCUCUGCUGUGGAGCUGAGGCAGCUGCUGAGAGGAAGUCAAUCCUUGUGAGGUUUCAUCGUGUUAGCAAGAAACAUUCCAGGGUCCAAGAGGAGCGAGGGAGUGUGAGGAAAGAGAGAAUCGUAGACCGGACCGGGACGGGAAAACGCCCAGGUUGGUAUCUGUUGUCUGCACUGCAAGUGCCUUUAA